UCCCUAUAAAAACCCUGGGAAGGCAUCAUAUUGGUUCUAAUGGGGUCAUGCUGUCAUUCUGCAAUGGACUGUGGUGGCCAGCAGAGAUGGGAUGUGCCAAUUGACCACUCCAGUGGCCACCCUUACCACAUAGGCUUCGAGUGGGGUGGAAGCUGGAUCCCUAGGGAGGAUGAGGCCCGGGCUUGAGUCCAGGCACCAACAAGAGCGCGUUCCCACCCUCCCGAAGGUCUGAUGUGGAGCAGAGGAAAAGAAUGGUCCUGAUAUCACC
rnacentral:lncRNA from 1 species